AGGAUAAACGCUGGCGGCGUGCCUAACACAUGCAAGUCGAACGUCUCUUCUUUCGGGAAGAGGAGUGGCGGACGGGUGAGGAACACGUGGGAACCUGCCCUUUAGUGAGGAAUACCGGCGAGAAAUCGCCGACAAGACCGCAUAGCCCUCUUUGAUGAGAGUCAAAGAAGGAAAGCUUCGCAAGAGGCGCUAGAGGAGGGGCCUGCGUCCGAUUAGCUAGUUGGUGGGGUAAGAGCCUACCAAGGCGUCGAUCGGUAGCUGGUCUGAGAGGACGAUCAGCCACACUGGGAUUGAGAACGGCCCAGACUCCUACGGGGGCAGCAGUGAGGAAUUUUCGGCAAUGGGGGAAACCCUGACCGAGCAACGCCGCGUGCAGGAAGACGGCCUUCGGUGUAACUGCUUUCUUGGGAAGAGGAAGGACGGUACCAGAGGAAUCAGCCCGGCUCACUACGUGCCAGCAGCCGC
rnacentral:rRNA from 1 species